rnacentral:misc_RNA from 1 species
AAUCUUAUGGUUUAAUGAAUAUGUAAGUAAGAAUUAAUUCUUAAUUUUAAUAAGUCAGGUGUAAGUAUCUAUUAACGAUAAGUCUCACAAAUAUUUCCUAUUAUUUUUUUCAAAAUUAAAUUUUUAUAUACGCAUGAUUUUACUGCAAGUUCUACACCGUGUCUGCUCCGAAACGUUUAUGGAAAGAUGAAGGAUUCAAAUAAGAUACUGAAUGAAGAAGUUUAGUCGAAUUUAUGACCUUAAUCAAAACUAUUUAACUUGCUUUUGAUGCAGUUAUAACAAAAACGUGGAAGUUAUUAAUGAUUCAGGAGAAAAUUGGUCCAUUAAAGGAUGGCAUGGAAACGGAAUUGCGAAAGUGUCGUUUUUGUUACCAUAUUGCACCGGAAACUUUUUCCAUUAAUAUUACGAACCCUUAUAUUGUACUCUAUGCCAAUAAAUCGACCCUCGUGAACAAAUUUAGGGGGAUGCCCAAACAAUAAAUGGGGUGGUGCAAAAGCAAAUACAAGUGAUCUUU